GUCCAAGAUAGGAUGUGUUCUGAUGGCAUGAACUUCACAGGAAAAGAAAAGAAGAGGAGGAGGACAAUAUUUUGUAAGUCAUGGUAAAAAACAGAGAGGAAAUGUAACUUACAUUUCAGGUCCAAUGGUAGAGGAUGGAAGAGAAAACAGCCAUUCUCUACUAAGAACUACUGAGAGUGGUCCCAGACAUCAGCCAGGUUCCAGUUAAAGCACAUAAGUGAAGGGAAUCAUUGAUGAUUGGUGGUGUAUAUAUUGAUGAAGCAAGAUGGUUGAUGAUGUAGGAUAUUUGCUGCUAACCAAGCAGCCUUUCCUAGGCUGCAGUGGAAGGAUUUGGAAGGAGUGUGACAGACUGGAUCAGUUACAUAUGAGAGUCCAGAUUAUAUGGGACGACUUGAGAUCAGAAGCAUGGUAGGAUGCAGGGGCAUGGUGGGAUUCACCUUAUGGUAUCAAAUGCAGGUUAGGGUGAUAAGGCUGAGCACGUGUGGAAGGAGAGCAGAGGAGUUCCUUGCCAGGAGCAUGUAGGGCUCUAUCCCACCGGUGACCAGGCUGCCAGGACCACUAUCUCCUUGGAGCAUUCAGGGCUCAUGGGUACUCCUUCCUCACCUGACAGGAAAGUUCAGAUAGGAAAGAUAACAAUGGAAGUCCAGUAGUGAAAUGAUCACUAAAUGUUUAAAAUGCAGGGAUUUGGGGGUAGUGGUUUAUGGCUUCACUGAAAUCAAACUUUUUUUUUGUAGGUGACUGUUUAGCUUGGCCAUUUGCUGCUCCUACCUCAAAUAGAAGGUUUCCUGUGACUUUCUUUGUCCAACGGAACAUGAUAGAACUAACGUAGCACCAGUUACCACCUUGGUCCUCAAGAGGCCUUCCACCCUUUAGCUCUCUUGGAAUCCUUCCUUCCCCAAAGGAACAAGUCUGCACUAACCAAUGAAGGAUGAGAAAGCACAAGGAGGAGAGCCAAGGCACCCCAGUAACUGCAGAAGCAGAGCUGUUGACAGAUGCAUGGGGGAGUCCAGCCAAGACCAGAAUUGCCAUGCUGAGUGCAGUCUAAAUUGCCAAAUUUCAGAUUCAGGAAUAAACAAAUGAAUUUUUAUUGCA
rnacentral:lncRNA from 1 species